UUGGCAGUGGGGCUGAGAGCUGAAUGCCAUGAAGAAUCUGGAAAGAGAUGGCUCCAGGCAGAGGGAACAGAAGUGGUGGGUCUGAGGAACAAGGAAUGUGGUUGGAUGGAAGAGAGAUGGGGAGAGGAGUGCAAGGGUCUCCCACCGGGUCCAUCAGCUGCCCCUGAGCAUCUGGGGUCUGCCAACUGCCACCUGCACCCUGCGUGCCCGAGUCUGCCAGCCACCACUUUUUCCUGCUGGGACCCCUGGACCCCUGGACCCCUGGACCCCUGGACCCCUGGACCCCUCUACCCCUCUCGGCACAGCCAGAAACUGGAUUUCCUGUAAGCAAUGAAAGAAUUCUACUGUAUUUGGAGAAAGGACAAGAGUUUGAUAAUCAAGGGACUCAAGAUGUAAGGAAGGAUGGAUAUCGAGGCCUUUUUCUGUUGCUGCCUGAUCUGGGUUCAGCCCGAAGAGGAAACAGCACACUCUGGCUCUGAGGAGAAUUCUCCUGGGCCUUAUCAGAGUUGUUGGAAGAAAACAGCUGAAGACUGAAUACAGUGAACUAAUUCCCUCACAUCCUUCAAAAAGCUGUAGUUUGUGGAAAGGAAUGUAAACAUUCUUAUGGAAAAAGGAGUUUUAAAAAGCCCUAAAUUAUUAAAAUUAACAAACCAAUAAACCAAAACAUAAAACUGUACAACUAUUUGCAUGGCUGAUCAGAAGAAAGAAAAGAAUUUCAGACAUCUUUUUGAAGAAAGGAAUAAUAAAACAAGCAUAUUUAAAAAAUCAAACGCUAAAUGCUCUACAAGAGAAAAAUGUACAAGGCACCAACUUAAAGGAAGUUAAGAAGUUCCUAUUGACAGAGAAUGUCUUUAAGAGUCAUGAUUCAAUUAUUAUCCUUCUAAUAUCUGUAGGAUGCACAGUGAUAUCACUUCUUUCAUGUUCGUUACUGGUAAUGUGUCUCCUCUGUUUUAUUCCUGAUCAUCCUGAUGAGAGUUUUAACUUCUCAAUGAACCAGCUUUUGGUUUUAUCAAUUUUCUUUGUUUCUUUCUUUCUUUUCAACUUUAUUGAUUUCUGCUCUAGUAUUAAUUAUUUUUUCUUCUGGUUUUAGAUUUCAUUUGCUUUUCUUUCUCUAGGUUUUAAAAAUGGAAGUCAGCAUCUUUGAUUUAAGACUUUUUUCUUUUGUAGUGCAGAUGUUUAAUGCUAUAAAUUUCUCCUAUGGUACUACUUUACCUGCAUCCAUCCCACAAGUUUUGAUAUAUUAUGUUUUUAUUGCAAAAUACUUUCUUUUUUUGAUGUCUCCUUUGUCUCAUGGGUUAUUUAGAUUUGUGUUUGGUUUCAAGAUAUUUGAGAAUUUUCCAUAUUUCUUUUCUCUUAGUGAUUUCUUAUUGAUUUAUAACUCUGGGAAGAGAUCAAGUUUUGUAUGAUUUUAAUCUUUUAAAAUUUAUCAAGAAUUAUUUUAUGGUUCAGAAUAUGGUUUGCUUUGUGAAGUGGUCCAUGGGCACUUAGAAAGAAAAUAAACAUGUCCU